ensembl:lncRNA WASH2P WASP family homolog 2, pseudogene
AGAUAGGCUGAGAGACGCAGGAAAGCGGGUCAAUGUGUAGGGCUGGAGGGCAGGGGCGGGCCCUGGGCCUGGGCUGGGGGUCCUGCCCCGGGGCGCACCCAGGGCGAGGGCUGCCCGGAGGAGCCGAGGCUGGCGGACAGCUUGGCCCUGAGCUUGAGGGGAAGGCAGCGAUGGGACAAAGGACGGAGGUCUAGGAAGAGGGUCUGCAGAGCAGAAAGCACGGGUAGGGGCGGCCUGACGCUCGGAAGACAACGGAUGGGAGCCGUGUGCACGUCGGGAGCUCGGAGUGAGCGCACCAUGACUCCUGUGAGGAUGCAGCACUCCCUGGCAGGUCAGACCUAUGCCGUGCCCCUCAUCCAGCCAGACCUGCGGUGAGAGGAGGCCGUCCAGCAGAUGGCAGAUGCCCUGCAGUACCUGCAGAAGGUCUCUGGAGACAUCUUCAGCAGGUAGAGCAGAGCCGGAGCCAGGUGCAGGCCAUUGGAGAGAAGGUCUCCUUGGCCCAGGCCAAGAUUGAGAAGAUCAAGGGCAGCAAGAAGGCCAUCAAGGUGUUCUCCAGUGCCAAGUACCCUGCUCCAGAGCGCCUGCAGGAAUAUGGCUCCAUCUUCACGGGCGCCCAGGACCCUGGCCUGCAGAGACGCCCCCGCCACAGGAUCCAGAGCAAGCACCGCCCCCUGGACGAGCGGGCCCUGCAGGAGAAGCUGAAGGACUUUCCUGUGUGCGUGAGCACCAAGCCGGAGCCCGAGGACGAUGCAGAAGAGGGACUUGGGGGUCUUCCCAGCAACAUCAGCUCUGUCAGCUCCUUGCUGCUCUUCAACACCACCUAGAACCUGUAUGGCCAGAAGGCAGGGCCGAGGGGUGUGGGCGGGAGGCCCGGCCUGGCUUAGUGGGGACCCAGGGCAUCAGACACAGGUACAGCACAUGGGCCAGGAGCCAGGGGGUGACUGGGGUGGCUCGGCUCGGGAGGCUUGGGACCCCAAGUGCACGCUGUGCCCCUGAUGAUGUGGGAGAGGAACAUGGGCUCAGGACAGCGGGUGUCAGCUUGCCUGACCCCCAUGUCACCUCUGUAGGUACAAGAAGUAUGUCUUCCUGGACCCCCUGGCUGGUGCUGUAACAAAGACCCAUGUGAUGCUGGGGGCAGAGACAGAGGAGAAGCUGUUUGAUGCCCCCUUGUCCAUCAGCAAGAGAGAGCAGCUGGAACAGCAGGUCCCUGAGAACUACUUCUAUGUGCCAGACCUGGGCCAGGUGCCUGAGAUUGAUGUUCCAUCCUACCUGCCUGACCUGCCCGGCAUUGCCAACGACCUCAUGUACAUUGCCGACCUGGGCCCCGGCAUUGCCCCCUCUGCCCCUGGCACCAUUCCAGAACUGCCCACCUUCCACACUGAGGUAGCCGAGCCUCUCAAGACCUACAAGAUGGGGUACUAACACCACCCCCACCGCCCCCACCACCACCCCCAGCUCCUGAGGUGCUGGCCAGUGCACCCCCACUCCCACCCUCAACCGCGGCCCCUGUAGGCCAAGGCGCCAGGCAGGACGACAGCAGCAGCAGCGCGUCUCCUUCAGUCCAGGGAGCUCCCAGGGAAGUGGUCGACCCCUCCGGUGGCCGGGCCACUCUGCUAGAGUCCAUCCGCCAAGCUGGGGGCAUCGGCAAGGCCAAGCUGCGCAGCAUGAAGGAGCGAAAGCUGGAGAAGAAGAAGCAGAAGGAGCAGGAGCAAGUGAGAGCCACGAGCCAAGGUGGGCACUUGAUGUCGGAUCUCUUCAACAAGCUGGUCAUGAGGCGCAAGGGCAUCUCUGGGAAAGGACCUGGGGCUGGUGAGGGGCCCGGAGGAGCCUUUGCCCGUGUGUCAGACUCCAUCCCUCCUCUGCCGCCACCGCAGCAGCCACAGGCAGAGGAGGACGAGGAUGACUGGGAAUCCUAGGGGGCUCCAUGACACCUUCCCCCCCAGACCCAGACUUGGGCCGUUGCUCUGACAUGGACACAGCCAGGACAAGCUGCUCAGACCUGCUUCCCUGGGAGGGGGUGACGGAACCAGCACUGUGUGGAGACCAGCUUCAAGGAGCGGAAGGCUGGCUUGAGGCCACACAGCUGGGGCGGGGACUUCUGUCUGCCUGUACUUCAUGGGGGGACGGCUCCACCCAGCCUGCGCCACUGUGUUCUUCUCUUAAGAGGCUUCCAGAGAAAACGGCACACCAAUCAAUAAAGAACUGAGCAGAAACCAACAGUGUGCUUUUAAUAAAGGACCUCUAGCUGUGCAGGA